GCGGACCUCAUAAAGUGCGUCGUAGUCCGGAUUGGAGUCUGCAACUCGACUCCAUGAAGUCGGAAUCGCUAGUAAUCGUGGAUCAGAAUGCCACGGUGAAUACGUUCCCGGGCCUUGUACACACCGCCCGUCACACCAUGGGAGUGGGUUGCAAAAGAAGUAGGUAGCUUAACCUUCGGGAGGGCGCUUACCACUUUGUGAUUCAUGACUGGGGUGAAGUCGUAACAAGGUAACCGUAGGGGAACCUGCGGUUGGAUCAC
rnacentral:rRNA from 1 species